ACGGCUCAGUAACACGUGGCUAACCUACCCUUUAGGACGGGGACAACCCCGGGGAACUGGGGCUAACAUCUGAUAGGUGAGGAGGCCUGGAAUGGUUCCUCCCUGAAAAGGCGUUGAAACCAUGCUUUUCAGCGUCGCCUAAGGAUGGGGCCGCGCCCGAUCAGGUUGUUGGUGGGGUAACGGCUCACCAAGCCAUUAACCGGUACGGGCCGUGAGAGCGGGAGCCCGGAGAUGGGCACUGAGACAAGGGCCCAGGCCCUACGGGGCGCAGCAGUCGCGAAAACUCCGCAAUGCGCGAAAGCGUGACGGGGCUACCCCGAGUGCCGUCCGCUGAGGAUGGCUUUUCCCCGGUGUAAUGAGCCGGGGGAAUAAGGAGAGGGCAAGACUGGUGUCAGCCGCCGCGGUAAUACCAGCUCUCCGAGUGGUAGGGACAAUUAUUGGGCUUAAAGCGUCCGUAGCCGGCUUGGCAAGUCUCCUGUUAAAUUCAGCGACUUAAUCGUUGAGCCGCGGGAGAUACUACUAGGCUAGGAGGCGGGAGAGGCCGACGGUAUUCCCGGGGUAGGGGUGAAAUCCUAUAAUCCCGGGAGGACCACCAGUGGCGAAGGCUGUCGGCUAGAACGCGCUCGACGGUGAGGGACGAAAGCUGGGGGAGCGAACCGGAUUAGAUACCCGGGUAGUCCCAGCCGUAAACGAUGCGGGCUAGGUGUUGAGGUGGCUACGAGCCACUUCAGUGCCGCAGGGAAGCCAUUAAGCCCGCCGCCUGGGGAGUACGGCCGCAAGGCUGAAACUUAAAGGAAUUGGCGGGGGA
rnacentral:rRNA from 1 species